UACGAAGGUGGCAAGCGUUGUUCGGAUUUACUGGGCGUAAAGGGAGCGUAGGUGGUUAGGUAAGCCCUCCGGGAAAUCUUCAGGCUUAACCUGAAAAGGUCGGGGGGGACUGCCUGGCUAGAGGACGGGAGAGGGGCGCGGAAUUCCCGGUGUAGCGGUGAAAUGCGUAGAGAUCGGGAGGAAGGCCGGUGGCGAAGGCGGCGCUCUGGAACGUUUCUGACACUGAGGCUCGAAAGCUAGGGGAGCAAACAGG
rnacentral:rRNA from 1 species